AGCCAGAUAGCUCAGUUGGUAGAGCAUGAGACUCGUAAUCUCAGGGUUGUGAGUUUGAGCCCCACAUUGGGUG
rnacentral:tRNA from 1 species